rnacentral:lncRNA from 1 species
AUUUGAGAUCCACCUAUGAAGAUUCAGAAACAGAUUUGAUUACAAAACCCUAAAAUCAAUCAAGACAUAGUUAUGGCGAUCACCAAGAUUUAUAUAAUUUCAUGUGGUGGGGUUCGAUUUGCAGCGGAAAUGCAGAAUUAUGAGUUGGAGUUGAGAAACUCGAGGCCGAAAGAGCAGGAGUUUUUGGAGAAUUAUAAUGCGAAUUCACAGACAUAGUUACCUAAAUCGCUAGGGUACCCACGAUCCACGUAUUGGAUCGUGGUGUACCCAAUCGCAAUUCGCUAUCGAUCCGGAACGUCCUGGUACGGCGAUCCAAAUUGAUUAGGUCCGGCGAUCCGAGUUGCUCAGGUACGGCGUUCUAGGAUGAUAAGGUUCGGCGCUCUGGAAUGAUAAGGUUCGGCGUUCCAUAUGCAAGUUUUGGCGACGAAUUACGACGCCGGAGUUGUUUUCAGCCGGAGACCAGGAAGAAAGGGAAGAAGAAGAAGACAGAACCAGGAAGAGGAAGAAGGGGAAGAAACGACGGCUGCUGCAGGUUUUUUAGGGUUUUUAAGGUUUAAGUGUUUAACUAAGUUUAGUUAUUUCAAUAUUUAACCCCUCUAUUUUUACUAGUUUACAUUUGAACCCUAAAACUAAUAGUUUUUUACAUAAAAGUAUAAAAGUAGUUUGUGUAUUUAAACAUUUAACCCCCUCUAUCUUCACUUUUUUACAUUAUGUUUGG